UACGUAGGGUGCGAGCGUUAAUCGGAAUUACUGGGCGUAAAGCGUGCGCAGGCGGCUAUACAAGACAGGCGUGAAAUCCCCGGGCUUAACCUGGGAACUGCGUUUGUGACUGUAUGGCUAGAGUACGGCAGAGGGGGGUGGAAUUCCACGUGUAGCAGUGAAAUGCGUAGAGAUGUGGAGGAAUACCGAUGGCGAAGGCAGCCCCCUGGGUUGAUACUGACGCUCAUGCACGAAAGCGUGGGGAGCAAACAGG
rnacentral:rRNA from 1 species